GCUUAACACAUGCAAGUCGAGGGGCAGCAUGGUCUUAGCUUGCUAAGGCCGAUGGCGACCGGCGCACGGGUGAGUAACACGUAUCCAACCUGCCGUCUACUCUUGGACAGCCUUCUGAAAGGAAGAUUAAUACAAGAUGGCAUCAUGAGUCCGCAUGUUCACAUGAUUAAAGGUAUUCCGGUAGACGAUGGGGAUGCGGUCCAUUAGAUAGUAGGCGGGGUAACGGCCCACCUAGUCUUCGAUGGAUAGGGGUUCUGAGAGGAAGGUCCCCCACAUUGGAACUGAGACACGGUCCAAACUCCUACGGGAGGCAGCAGUGAGGAAUAUUGGUCAAUGGGCGAGAGCCUGAACCAGCCAAGUAGCGUGAAGGAUGACUGCCCUAUGGGUUGUAAACUUCUUUUAUAAAGGAAUAAAGUCGGGUAUGCAUACCCGUUUGCAUGUACUUUAUGAAUAAGGAUCGGCUAACUCCGUGCCAGCAGCCGCGGUAAUACGGAGGAUCCGAGCGUUAUCCGGAUUUAUUGGGUUUAAAGGGAGCGUAGAUGGAUGUUUAAGUCAGUUGUGAAAGUUUGCGGCUCAACCGUAAAAUUGCAGUUGAUACUGGAUAUCUUGAGUGCAGUUGAGGCAGGCGGAAUUCGUGGUGUAGCGGUGAAAUGCUUAGAUAUCACGAAGAACUCCGAUUGCGAAGGCAGCCUGCUAAGCUGCAACUGACAUUGAGGCUCGAAAGUGUGGGUAUCAAACAGGAUUAGAUACCCUGGUAGUCCACACGGUAAACGAUGAAUACUCGCUGUUUGCGAUAUACUGCAAGCGGCCAAGCGAAAGCGUUAAGUAUUCCACCUGGGGAGUACGCCGGCAACGGUGAAACUCAAAGGAAUUGACGGGGGCCCGCACAAGCGGAGGAACAUGUGGUUUAAUUCGAUGAUACGCGAGGAACCUUACCCGGGCUUAAAUUGCAGAUGAAUUACGGUGAAAGCCGUAAGCCGCAAGACAUCUGUGAAGGUGCUGCAUGGUUGUCGUCAGCUCGUGCCGUGAGGUGUCGGCUUAAGUGCCAUAACGAGCGCAACCCUUGUUGUCAGUUACUAACAGGUUCCGCUGAGGACUCUGACAAGACUGCCAUCGUAAGAUGUGAGGAAGGUGGGGAUGACGUCAAAUCAGCACGGCCCUUACGUCCGGGGCUACACACGUGUUACAAUGGGGGGUACAGAGGGCCGCUACCACGCGAGUGGAUGCCAAUCCCCAAAACCUCUCUCAGUUCGGACUGGAGUCUGCAACCCGACUCCACGAAGCUGGAUUCGCUAGUAAUCGCGCAUCAGCCACGGCGCGGUGAAUACGUUCCCGGGCCUUGUACACACCGCCCGUCAAGCCAUGGGAGCCGGGGGUACCUGAAGUGCGUAACCGCGAGGAGCGCCCUAGGGUAAAACUGGUGACUGGGGCUAAGUCAUA
rnacentral:rRNA from 1 species